GGAUCCGGGGCGCAGACACAGCACCACUCAUCAGGCCAUGCUGAGGCGGCAUCCCACACAGCACAACCAGGAGCACCUACAACUAAAAUAUACAGCUAUGUCCUGGGGGGCUUUGGGGAGGAGAAGAAGAAUUUUUUUAAGAAAAGAAGAAGAUUGGCAACAAAUGUUAGCUCAGGUGCCAAUCUUUAUUAAAAAAAUAAAAAACUGAUGCCACACAAAUGCCCGCCAGGUAAUCAGUUUCAUGAAAUAAUAGCAAAUUGAAAUUAUCCUCACCUUGCUAUGCCACCAGCAUUGAAAGUCUUCAAAAUAUAGGAAAAUUACUGUUUCUAAAGGAUUAUAUCAAUAACUUUUAUAAUACAAGCAAACAUUACAGCAGGAUACAUACACUUAUUCUAAGCAAUUGCCAUUUCCAUGCCACUGAAUUUCAGACCUCCUGUUUAUUUUUCAUAGCAGUCAGUCAAUAGAUAUUGUCUAAAGUUGAUAAAUUAAUAAAUAAGUAUAAAAGUAGACUAUUUAGAGUUACAAUAAUAACCAGAAGAAGAACAAAAUAAAAGCUUAUUCAAGGUCACUUCUAGGGAAUUUGAUUUGAGAAAUGAAAAGUGGAAAUGGGUCAGAAGAAAGGUUUAGCUUUAUAUUUUAUACCUUUCUGUACUGCUCAUGUUUCUUAUUAUAUGCAUAAUUUCCAUAAUUGUAAGAAACAAAUAUAAAAUGAGUAAAUAACAUCCUCACUAAUAAGGGAUUAGCUAAAUAAAUUAAGCAUGCGCAUGCACAUUGCUUCUCAACUUCGGAAGGGUGCUGGGUAAAAUCUGAAACCGGCCCCCAUACUCAGAGGGCAAGGAGAGACUACUCGAGACUAGUGGCUGGCAGGUUUAAUAAGCAAGGGAGCUUAUACGAGGCUUGUCUUGGGCGGCCACAAGCCGAGUAGAUCUAUGGACCCACCCACCAGAAUCUUCAAAGUUUAUACAGAGGCCUUAACUGGGUUCAAUCACAUAUAUCGUCCAGACGGUCUCAACAACACAUUGCUUUCUCAAGUGUACAUCCUUGAAAACAUCUCCCACUGUGGGCAGGGUGUACCUUCCAAGAACAGAGCAGGGGGGAAGGAGCCUCUGAUUGCGUGGGUCAACAGGAGGUCACAUCCUCUGGAUGACCUCCUCCAACAAUGCAGCGGGCCAUCAUGCAGAUGGGAAAAAAUAGCAAGAUAUAUAGUGGAGAUAAAAAGAUAACCUUGGAAUGCCAUUAAAUUUAAACAAGUAGUUGCAAACAAGUAUAGCCUGAUUCAACUUAAGUAAAAAUUACACGCACGUGGGGCCGGCCCGGUGGCGCAGCGGUUAAGUUCGCACGUUCCGCUUCUCGGCGGCCCGGGCUUCGCUGGUUCGGAUCCCGGGUGCGGACAUGGCACUGCUUGGCAGCCAUGCUGUGGUAGGCGUCCCACGUAUAAACUAGAGGAAGAUGGGCACGGAUGUUAGCUCAGAGCUAGGCUUCCUCAGCAAAAAGAGGAGGACUGGCAGUAGUUAGCUGAGGGCUAAUCUUCCUCCAAAAAUAAAAAAAAUUACACUCACAUGCAUACACACACACGCACACAGACUUGUAUAAGCAUAGAGAUACCUAGGAAAUAUACCAAGCUAUUAGAUUUGG
rnacentral:lncRNA from 1 species